rnacentral:tRNA from 1 species
UAAUGUAAAUAUAAUUUAAUUAAAAUACUAGAUUGUGAUUCUAGCAAUGAAAGUGAAACUCUUUCUAUGAACC